rnacentral:lncRNA from 1 species
UAAAAUCCUUUAUAACAUUAAAAUAUGGACUACAUCAUAUCCCUUAGUCUGAUGAAGCUCAAGCACAGUGGGAUAUAUAAAUGAAGUAUUCCAGAUGGCAGGGAUCAUAAGUUGAACUCACAGUUUUCUGGAUCUUUUGUUCUACAGAGGAUAUUUAGGCGCUUGAUAUGCUUGAUACUCCUCACCAGAAGAAUCUCGUGUCCUCUGAGUUGUUCUAGGAUACCUUACCUCACCUUUGAAACAUAAUCU